rnacentral:lncRNA from 1 species
UCCGUGCCAGUCAAAAUUGGAACGGUGGAGUAAAUAUUUUCGGACUUGUACACCUUGUUUUUGAAAUUAUAGACACGUUCCAAUUAAAUAAAAUAUGGAAGCUCUUCAACAGAACAAAUUAUUAACUAGUUGAUGACAACAUCUCUCCAUAAAUAAACAAAGAAUCCAGUAAUAAUCAACAACAAAUAGUAGCAGUAAGAAAGAAUCAACAGCGGCCACGACUACGGCCGCCCAUAAAAGUCGUCGGCUCCGGCAAUAUAUAACAAAAAGUAUUUCACAGAUCAGAGAAUUAAAGCAUCAAAGUAGCAGCAAAAAUAGCUACAACAGCAGAUCCAGCGACGGCAACUCUGUUCAAGGAAGCAGAGUUGGGAGAUGAGGUAGGAGAACCGCUGGGAGAGGCACUGAUGGAUGGAGGAGCAGCACCACCGGAAGGAGAUGAUGCCGGAGUAUCGACGGUUGGUGGAGCUGGAGGAGAUGCCAAUGGAGAAGAAGGAGUAGUAGGAGCAUUUGCAGGAGCAGAGACAGGUGUUACUGCAGAUGGAGGAGUCGCCACCGGAGGUGACGAUGCUACCGGUGGUGGAGAACUCUUCGGAGAAGCUGCCGGAGAUGCUCCUGGUGCCUGAGCAAAUGCAGAUCCAACCACCAAAGCCAACAUUAGAGCAACGAUUACCUUUGAGUAUGCCAUUCUAGCCUUUAGACGAGGAGAUUUUUCGAGAAAGAGAAGUGGAAUAAAGCGCAAAAGAGAUAAAAGAGGAAUAUGACUGUUGUUG